rnacentral:misc_RNA from 1 species
UUGUGUUUUCACUUUAGUUAAGAUGUGAAUUAGAAAAAUUACAGUGAAAGUUAAUGUCUGGGUGAAAGCUUCGAAAGAUGUUUUUACUGCAUGAUCUGUAAACUGCUGACGAAAUGGAGGAUGAAAAGUAUCUAAAUAGUUCUGGGGUCGUUAUUGAUCCAGAUUCUUUCAGCCAAGAAGAUUUGUCAUUUAUUUUGCUUCAUAUUGCCAAGGCAGUUACUCUGAUUUCAAUUAUCAUACUGGCAAUAUUCUCCAACAUACUUGUUAUUGCAGCUGUUAUACUUUACAGGAGAUUAAGAGGAAUCAACAAUUAUUUUUUGGUCUCUCUGGCAGCAGCAGAUCUACUGGUGGCCGGAGUAGCCAUGACACUCAAUGCUACCCAGGAGAUAUCCGGCAGAUGGAUUUUCGGCAGCUUUGUUUGUGACCUCUGGAACUCAAUAGAUGUUCAUGCUUCCACGGUUAGCACACUACAUCUGUGCUGUAUAUCACUUGAUAGAUAUUAUGCUAUUGUCAGACCAUUGGACUACCAGUCAACUAUAACUACCAGGGUUGCUAUUCUGAUGAUGAUUGUAGCCUGGUUGUCCCCGACCAUCAUUUCCUUUGUUCCCAUAUUUCUUGGCUGGUAUACGACUAAUGAACAUAUACAGGAACGAGCUGAAAGCCCAGGGGAGUGUGCGUUUAUUGUUAAUAAACCCUAUGCGUUCAUUUCAUCAACUCUUACAUUCUGGUGUCCUGUCAUAGUAAUGCUCCUCACCUACCAGAGGGUGUACAGAGAAGCAAUGCGACAAAAGAAAACCAUUGAACGACUCAACACAAUAGUAAAUCUGAACAGUAGAACAGUGAGUAGACGUGAGUCCAGUGAACAGGAAAAUUCAUCUGGUAGAUAUCGGGAAAGAACUGUUUCCUGGAGAGAGAAAUACAUUCAGGGAAGCAAUAGCAAUAUGAGCAAUAUCUCUGAGCACGACGAGUUUCAACCAGAGAAAAUUCUCAGAGAUAAGUUGAAAAAACAUCAAUAUUCAACCAAAGAUCAGAUUGGGGUGGGAGAUGAAACUGAUCUAAAGAAUGAAAGGGAUGAGAUGAACGAAACAAAGAGAAAUAGUCCUGAAGUUCGAGUGCAUAGGACAAGACAUAGUUUGGGGAAUGUUUUGGUGGAUGUAAAAGCUCGAGCCAGGUUAUCCAUUGUUAACAGCACGCAUGCUAUUACGGAGGGACUGAAAGAGCGUAAACGCUUGAACUCAAACUGGAGAAAAGAACAUAAAGCGUUUGUAACGCUUGGAGUUGUACUGGGAGCAUUCCUAGCCUGCUGGCUACCGUUCUUCACAUGGUAUUUAACAACAACAAUCUGUGGAGAUGCAUGUCCUUGUCCACCUCAAGUAGUUAGUGUUCUUUUCUGGAUAGGAUACUUCAACUCAACCCUAAACCCUGUAAUCUAUGCAAUGACAAAUCAGGACUUCAAGCUUGCAUUCAUCUCCAUACUAAGGAGACUAUUCUGUUGCAAGGCGUCAGAACGAACAAUGAAUUCAGAAUUUUAACCGUUUACCAUCUCUAUAGAUAUAUUUAUCUGGUUUUCACUGUAAAAAGCUAUAGUUGGUCUCGCUAAUAAAUUCUUCAGUAUCUGCAACUAUAUGUAUUAAGUUAAAGACAAACAGAUCAAUGUUUUGCAUACGUCUGAUUAAUUAGUGCUGUCAAAGGAAUUUU